rnacentral:rRNA from 1 species
CGGUGAAUACGUUCCCGGGCCUUGUACACACCGCCCGUCAAGCCAUGGAAGCCGGGGGCGCCUAAAGUCCGUGACCGCAAGGAGCGGCCUAGGGUGAAACUGGUAACUAGGGCUAAGUCGUAACAAGGUACCC